rnacentral:lncRNA from 1 species
GCCCACUCUGCUGGUCGCCGCUCGGAAGGGACGAGUCACGGGCGGUCACCCGAGGCCAGCGUGUCUGCCCCCCGCCAGAGAGCCAUCGCUCGAAGGACGCGAAGCUUUGCCCGACCGGGGUCCCCGAACGCUGUCCCUCUUGGCCGCAGCGCGUGGCAAACAGCUCCCAGUCUGCGUCACCACGAGCGGCGCUGCAGAAGGAAGAAUCAAUAAGACCCAGCCGCAGUCCCCCGCCUGCUGUCCCGCGGGGAGGUUAAUAAGAUGCAGCGCGCCGCGGAGGGUGUCCGCUUGGGGAGGCGGCCGGGUGGCGAUGACUUAGCCGGAUUCUCAAAGGACGGCUGGACGGGGGAAGGGCCGUGCAAGUAGCAGCCCGUUCCGAGGAGGAGGAUCAGGAAACGGGAUGGAGGAUCAUUUGUAUCCUCUGGGAAAACACUGAUAGGAUUUGAGGUCCGAGAGGUGGACAAGGGCCAGGAAAGCCCUUAAUUGUGCUGGGCUUCUGACCUACGUGGAUUCUUGCCUUUAGCACGUUCAGUGUGCCCUUUUAGUCAUUAGUACAGCAGUGAGUGUGAGUUACCAUUCUGUUUCCUGCUCAGGGAGAGAACCUGCACAGUAUAGGAUCAGACCUGGAUUCACCUGGACCGCUCCCUGGUUCCACCAGCUUUUAGUUGUGUGCCUUGAGCAAGACGCUGAAUCUUUGGGUCUCAAUUUUCCUCACCUGUAAACAGUAGCUAGUAUUUUUGUUUACAUCAUAGGCCUGUGAGUUGAUAGAGUUUCUAGCACAUAGUAGGCACCAUAUUGGAGCUAACAACCCCAUGCUGGGGAUUGAACUCAGGCAUAAGCUACCAUUGCGUUAUUUCCCCAUCUCUUUUUUAUUUUGAGACUGGUUCUCACUAAAUUGCCCAGACAAGCCUGGAACUUUGAUCCUCCUGCCUCAGCCUACUGAGUAACUGGGAUUCCAGGCCAGUGCAACCAUGCCCAGCUGACUUGUGUUAUUAACAUUAAGUAGCUGGAGUUCUUUUCUAACAAUCCAAACAUGUUCAGGGUGGUGCUUAAUUAAUGCAGCAAACACAAUCAAAUCAUGGGUUAAAAAAGAAGAAAAACCACAUUUUGCUAUUACAAAUAUUUUUUAGCAUAUUAGGGAAAAUGUGAGCAAAUAACGACAAGGUUUGGGGCAAAGGUAGAAGGGACCUGUUCUUGCCUGAGCUAGAGGAAAUGGGAAAGUUUGGGUCAUCCAAACUACAAUUUGUGGGAAAGGAUUAUAGGCAUAUGAACAACAACAGGACAAGACAAAUAGCGUUUUAGUCGUCCCAGUGGCCCACGCCUGUAAUCCCAGAGGCUGAAGCAGGGGGAUUGUAAAUUCAAAGUCAGCCUCAGCAAUUUAGUGAGACCCUGUCUCUAAAAUUUAAAAAAAAAAAAAAAAAAAAAAGGUGGGAUGUGGCCACAAGCAUCUGAAUAGUGGUUAUAAGGAUAGGAAAAGAUGGCAGUAUUGAGGUGGAAUGAAAAGAAAAGAGUCCUGGGCUUAGGAGUGCAGCUCAGUGUUAGCACACUUGCUUAGCAUGCAAGAGGCCCUGGGUUCAGUCCCCUGUAGUGGGGGCAUAAUCGCAAAAGUCUAGAGUUUAGGGUUUGGUGGGUUAAAGUUGUGCCACCAACUGCAAUGGGGCAUUCAAGCUGUAGCUAAAUUGUUAAGAAGUAUAACUUCUUGGAAGAACUUGAAAUUACAACUGUCCCUGUGGGACAGUGUGGUCUAAUGCAACCUCCCAAAAAAAUGUUACAGGAGUUUAUAUCCCAAAUGCCUGUCGUUGUCUGGAGUGGGCAGCAUUGUGUUAAUGUGAGAUCAGAAAUGAUGGCAUGAAUCUUUGCAAGAGCCCUGGUAGUCCUUUUACAGCUUAGUCUGACACCUGUCACAAAUGCUCAUCCAGGAUUACACUCAAAGAGGCAUAACCUCCCCAUUCAACUCCCAAGUGUCAGAGACUCAGAUAGGACUCAUAUAGGCCUACCAAGAAGAAGAAAGGGGAACACACUGUCCACCAGCAACUAGGUAAUGGGUGCCUGCCGGAAGUGCCCUCCAAAUAAGGCUGGACUCAGGUAUGUAACUCGCAUACAUUUGAGUAGCAGCUGUCCUAAAUGUGCAUGCUAAAGUUUGUUUUUGAGUAAGUGGAAAUAACUUGAAAUUACAUAGAGAACUAAAUUAUCAGAAAUUUGGUUGGUAGGGACUGGGGGUAUAGUUCAGUUGGUAGAGUACUUGCCUGGCAUGCACAAGGCUGUGGGUUCAAUCCCCAGCACCUCAAAAAAAGAAGAAAACCGGUUAGUAAACAAGGGUCAGAAAAUCUUAACUGGUGAUGUUAAGCUAUAAUAUGGUCAUCCCUCUCCACUAUAGGGUUACAUCUUAAAGGAAAAAACACUGUGAUUAAGCUUUUGGCCAGCAAUUCCUCUCCUAAAUAAAUUUAUUUGUCCUGAAAGUAGCUCUUGGUUAUCUACAGUGCUCACUUCAGUAGAAGCCCAGUGAGACUGAGAAAGGCCUGAGGGCACAUAGCUAGUAAACAGCCCCCAGCUGAAGUCUGGGUAUGACAGCCCUGCCUUAGAACACAAGCACUACAAAAGUCUUUCUCCCCUUGCUGUUUCACAAAGGAGGGAAACCAGACCUGGAAAGUAGGAGAUUGACACAAGGUUGCACAGCCAGUACCUGGGAGAGCUGGAAUUUGAAAAUCCAUGUGAUAAGUACGCACAUGAGCUCAUGUAUCACAAACAACUCUUAGUUCUGGUUCUUCUCAUUUUAAGGAUGAAGAAAUUGAGGUUUAGAAAGUUUUUAGAAAGAAUUUGCCUAAGAAUGGAAAACUUAGCAACAACAACAACAAAAAAAAACAGGCCUUCCUCUUAGGACCCAAAGUUGAAGUGUGAAAAGCUUAUGUGGGGGCUGGGGAUGUGGCUCAAGCGGUAGCGCACUCGCCUGGCGUGUGUGCGGCCCGGGUUCGAUCCUCAGCACCACAUACAAAAAAAAGAUGUGUCUGCCGAGAACUAAAAAAAAUAAAUAUUUAAAAAAAAAAAAAAAGCUUAUGUGGAAAAUGAUGCACAAACCAGUCUGGCUCCAAGGAUGGUCAGAAAUGAGGACUUAGGCAAAAAUGUGGAUUAGGGCAAUUGUGAAAGACUGAAGAAUGGGGUAAUCCCAGCUACUCUGGAGGCUGAGGCAGGAUCACAAGGUCAGGGCCAACCUGGGCAAUUUAGCAAGAGCUACCAUGUCUCUAAAAAGGGUAGGGUGUAGCUCAGUGGUAGAGCACUUGCCCAGCAUGUGUGAGGGCCUGGGAUCCAAUGCCAGCACUGCAGAAAGGCAGAGAUGAGCAAAUCCACAAGCAGUGCAGACCUCACAAAGAAAUUAGAUAAUUCAAAGUCUAGGCUGGGAUGUAGCUCAGUGGCAAAGCAUCUUCCUUGCAUUCACAAAGCCCUGGGUUCAACCCCCAGUUCCAAAAAAGACCAAAGGAAAAAAAAAAAGAACCCCACCAAAGUCUAACGAUGUGCUGAUGUGGCCUUAUGUUAGCUGAAUUCAGGUUUAUUCAGGAGGCACUGAUGAUUCUGCAUCACAUCAGCAGAGCUUCUAGAGACAUGAAGUAGAUGUGAUGCUGAACCUACCUAUGGAGCCUUUGUAGCACAAACAGGAGUCCGCACGUGGGGAGAAACGAGUGCACAGAAAACUCCGACCAUUUCUUUCAUUCAACAGAACUGAAGGCCUGCUCUGAGUUCCCCUGGGAUAAGUCCCCUAGUUAACUUCCUGACAGGUUUACAGAGAACUGAGAAGGGACCAUGAGGCCUCUGAUCUCUGGCCUGGCCCCUUUGUCACUUGCAGAUCUUGUCUCUAAUUCCUGAGGCCCCUUUCCACCCGCUAUGGGUGUCAUCUUUCCCUCGGGAUCUUUUCUCCCCUUUAAGUCUGUCCCAGCCAGCUGUCCCCUUACUGACUUGUCCCUGCCUCCCUCAGCAAAUUGUUUCCACAUUUAUCUGCUCCCUCUCCAAAUUCUGCCUCUCCCUGUCACUGGCGUCUGUCCCUGUUUGUUCCUGGCUUGCAGGCAUCGGCCCAUAUCUGUCUCCAAGUCUUACCAGUUCUCACUUUGAAAUUCUUCUCACAACACCAGGAGCACAGUGCGGUUGGAGACCAUCUGGGGAAUGUGGGGGCUGGGUCCAGAACUUCUGUGCUCAGAUGGCAGAGUUCAGCAACCUCCGUGGCCCAGGAAUAAUCUUUAAAGUGAGGAGAACACUGACAGAUAACAUUUGUGGAAUGUUUUCAUGUCAUGGACACUGCUAAGCCAUCUGUGGUGCUCAUGAGAUGGCUAGAAUACACAGGUUGUGAGCAUUUCCAGAGGGUGCCUGUGAAGCUCUUUGAUGCCUAACUCUCAACAUGAAGCAUUUAUAUGAAAAUAAUUUUUCCCAUGCAUUUCCACUUAGUUUAGGCCCUCAAUCCUCAAAGCCAGUCCUGUCACUACUUUACGUGUGUGUGUCUGUGUGUGUUUACUGAAGAUUAAACCCAGAGCACUUUACCAUUGAGCCACAUCCCCCCAGUCUUUUUACAUUUUUAA